UGAGAGGGCGACCGGCCACAUUGGGACUGAGAUACGGCCCAGACUCCUACGGGAGGCAGCAGUGGGGAAUAUUGCACAAUGGGCGCAAGCCUGAUGCAGCGACGCCGCGUGAGGGAUGGAGGCCUUCGGGUUGUAAACCUCUUUUAUCGGGGAGCAAGCGAGAGUGAGUUUACCCGUUGAAUAAGCACCGGCUAACUACGUG
rnacentral:rRNA from 1 species